rnacentral:lncRNA from 1 species
ACAACAUUAAUAUUCCACACGUAUACAAAUAGAUAAAUUCACCACAUAUUCAUAGAUUCAUCAAUUUUCACCAAUGCACGUAUACACCAAUUCACAUAAUCAAGUAUGACUCGACUCAUCCAAUCACAAUGUAUGCAAUGCUAUAGGCUCUUCUAGAUGCACGUGGUACCAUAGGAUUCCGGAGAUAAAUUUUACCGUUAAUGAAUCCACCAACAUAAUAAACACCACCAAUUAUGUUCUGUAGAAGCUAUGUAACAAACACCAUCAGUUACAUUCUUCAAAUCACCUCAAUAUCACUAUGAAUGCAUGGCCUUCAAGUAAGUACUUGACAAUGCUUAACUCACCAACAUAGACAUUAACAUAAUAAUCACCACCAAUUAUGUUAUUCACCAACAAUUGCAUUAUCAAAUACUUACAAUCAUACAAUCAACAAGUCAUCAUCAAUUCAUUUAAUCAUAAUCAUCAAAAG